rnacentral:rRNA from 1 species
GCGUAUACGCUCUUUUUAAAGAUUAAGCCAUGCACGUGCUAGUUCAUACAUUUUUAAUGUGAGACUGCGGACGGCUCAGUAUAUCAGUUAUAAUCUGCUCGAUUGUUAAGGUUAUUGGAUAACCGUGGGAAAUCUAGAGCUAAUACAUGCACCUCUCGGCGGAGGGCUUGCUCUUCGUCGAUUGCAUUUAUUAGAGCAAUACCAACCGUGUGCUACACACGAGGUGAAUCUAGAUAACUGUGCAGAUCGUAUGGCCUUGAGCUGACGACAUUUCGAUUGAAUUUCUGCCCUAUCAACUCUGUUGGCAGUGUAGUGGACUGCCAAGGUUUUUACGGGUAACGGGGAAUCAGGGUUCGAUUCCGGAGAGGGAGCCUGAGAAACGGCUACCACAUCCAAGGAAGGCAGCAGGCGCGCAAAUUACCCAAUCCAGACAAUGGGAGGUGGUGACGAAAAGUACCGAAUGGCAGCUUAAUGUUGCCAGUUUGGAAUGAAAACAAUUUAAGUAAUUGAAUUGAGUAACGACUGGAGGGCAAGUCUGGUGCCAGCAGCCGCGGUAAUUCCAGCUCCAGUAGCGUAUCUCAAAGUUGCUGCGCUUAAAACGCUCGUAGUUGGAUCACGCACUAUGCAUUGGUGUACUCGAGUGCUUGCAUGGUAAACCUUACACUCGGAUUUCGAUCCUCGAAUUUCUGCAGUAAAGGUGUGCAACGCUUGGGUAAUUAGCCAGUGUAUAGUAAUUGCACGUGAGGAUGGCCGUUAGCCUUGAGUGCGCUGAUGGUCGUGUCUCACGGGGUGUGCCUUGAGUAAAUCAGAGUGCUUAAAGCAGGCGUUAGCUUGAAUGUUGAUAGCAUGGAACGAACAAUCGUGUAUGGUGUGUGUUGGUAACGGCGUGUCGGAGUAUUCCUUCACACUGCAACACACGACACCGACCACCAAUUACGGAUGUUGGUUCCGUAUUGGGGUACUGAUUAAGAGGAGCGGUUGGGGGCAUUGGUAUUUGGCAGCGAGAGGUGAAAUUCUUGGACCUGCCAAGGACUAACAAAUGCGAAGGCAUCUGUCCAGACCGUAUCCAUUAAUCAAGAACGAAAGAGAGAGGUUCGAAGACGAUCAGAUACCGUCCUAGUUCUCUCUGUAAACUAUGCCGACCCGGGAUCAGUUUGGAGUAAUAUACCCACGCUCGAGGUUGGUCCCCCUGGGAAACCUGAAGUUUUUCGGUUGCGGGGGGAGUAUGGUCGCAAGGCUGAAACUUAAAGGAAUUGACGGAAGGGCACCACCAGGGGUGGAGCCUGCGGCUUAAUUUGACUCAACACGGGAAAACUUACCUGGUCCGGACAUCAAAAGGAUAGACAGACUGCCAGAUCUUUCUUGAUAUGGUGAUUGGUGGUGCAUGGCCGUUCUUAGUUCGUGGAGUGAUCUGUCAGGCCAAUCCCGGUAACGAACGAGACCACAUUCUCCAGUUGACGAGCCGGAGAAGGUGUUUAUAUUGGGAAUUUUUGUUCGCAAAAGUCCCUGGUGUUAGCAUUGUAGGCAUCGUAGGGUGCUCAGGGUGUAUCGGUUGAGGUGGCAACACUGAGGUCGGUGCAUUCGGGGUUACAUCUGCGCUCCCUCCGGCUUAGCAGUGUACGUCUUGCAAAAGAUGUGCAUUGUAUCAUGGAGAGACAACGGAAUAUACUAAAAAAAUCCGAGGAAGUGUGGCUAUAACAGGUCUGUGAUGCCCUUAGAUGUUCAGGGCUGCACGCGCGCUACAAUGACUACGACAGCGAGUCUCUGGAUCGAAAGAUUCGGGUAAUCUUGUAAUCGUAGUCGUGAUGGGGAUCGACGUUUGUAAAUACGUCGUGAAAGAGGAAUCCCUAGUACGUGCGAUUCAUGAAAUCGCGCGGAUUUAGUCCCUGCCCUUUGUACACACCGCCCGUCGCUACUACCGAGCGAAUGGUGUCAUAAUACCUUGGGAGCGGACGUCGCGCUGGGCCUGUGCUCGGAGCGACGCUGCGAUCAGCGUAGAAUGGCGCAAUUUCGAGGAAGUAAAAGUC